AGUGGGCUGGGUGUGGUGGCAGAACAGUCUGGCACAAGCUCCUGUGAGUCACCAGCACCAGCUCUGGAACAAGAGGCCCUUCCCUAGGGUGCUGACAGGGCUGCUUCUGCUGCUGCCACAGCUCUGAACCCAGCAGCCCAGGGUGUGAUGGGGCAAAUGCACUAGCCAUACAAGGAGGCAAGCACUGCUAAAUCUGCCACAAGGGGGAGACUUUGCCCCCACCUCCAUGGUACAGAUGUCAGACAAACUCUGUAUCUAGAGGGCAAGACUGCCAUCCCUAUGGCAAUGACCCACCAGGAUUUGCCCUGGAGGGCAACAUCUCCACUGCCUCCUAGCAAUCAUGCCAUUGACACCACAGCUAAGAUGGGGAGCUGGCCCCAGGGAUGGGGAGCUGGGCUGGGACACUACCCACCCCUGACCAUAGAUCUGUGUCCUUGUCUGCACAACACAACAGUGCCAGGCCAGGACACCCAAGCAAGAAGCAACCUGGCCACAUUAGCAUGGCACCCUGCCUGGGAUAACUAUACCUAGCUUUUCUGCAUGGCUGUUAGUCUGGGCUAGCUGCCAUGUUAAUGGACUAUCUUGAUUUCAGUGAAUGACCUAGCUCGAGCAUCUUUGCCCAGCACUUCACUGGGCCAUAAAGAUCCAUGCCAAAUAGUCCAAGAUCUGGUGCCUCCAUGGAGCAAUAUGCACUCUCCAUUUCUGUUCAGGAACGCUUUUCUGCAAGGGUGUUGGGGGUUUUCUAACUGUCCUAGUCCUGCA